UAACGCGUGGGAACCUGCCCAGUGGUAGGGAAUAACUGGGGGAAACUGCAGCUAAUACCCUAUGAGCCCUACGGGGGAAAGAUUUAUCGCCAUUGGAGGGGCCCGCGUCGGAUUAGCUAGUUGGUGGGGUAACGGCCUACCAAGGCGACGAUCCGUAGCUGGUCUGAGAGGAUGAUCAGCCACACUGGGACUGAGAUACGGCCCAGACUCCUACGGGAGGCAGCAGUGGGGAAUAUUGGACAAUGGGGGAAACCCUGAUCCAGCAAUGCCGCGUGAGUGAAGAAGGCCUUAGGGUUGUAAAGCUCUUUCGGCGGGGAAGAUGAUGACGGUACCCGCAGAAGAAGCCCCGGCUAACUCCGUGCCAGCAGCCGCGGUAAUACGGAGGGGGCUAGCGUUGUUCGGAAUUACUGGGCGUAAAGGGCGCGUAGGCGGCGAAGCAAGUCAGGUGUGAAAGGCCCGGGCUCAACCCGGGAACUGCACUUGAGACUGCUUUGCUUGAGUCCGGGAGAGGAUGGCGGAAUUCCCAGUGUAGAGGUGAAAUUCGUAGAUAUUGGGAAGAACACCGGUGGCGAAGGCGGCCAUCUGGACCGGUACUGACACUGAGGCGCGAAAGCGUGGGGAGCAAACGGGAUUAGAUACCCUGGUAGUCCACGCCGUAAACGAUGAGUGCUAGACGUCGGGGGGUUCACCCUCCGGUGUCGCAGCUAACGCUUUAAGCACUCCGCCUGGGGAGUACGGUCGCAAGAUUAAAACUCAAAGGAAUUGAC
rnacentral:rRNA from 1 species